GUGGGGAAUCUUAGACAAUGGGCGCAAGCCUGAUCUAGCCAUGCCGCGUGAGCGAUGAAGGCCUUAGGGUUGUAAAGCUCUUUCGUGGGGGAAGAUAAUGACUGUACCCCAAGAAGAAGCCCCGGCUAACUCCGUGCCAGCAGCCGCGGUAAUACGGAGGGGGCUAGCGUUGUUCGGAAUUACUGGGCGUAAAGCGCACGUAGGCGGACCAGAAAGUCAGAGGUGAAAGCCCGGGGCUCAACCCCGGAACUGCCUUUGAAACUCCUGGUCUUGAGGUCGAGAGAGGUGGGUGGAAUUCCGAGUGUAGAGGUGAAAUUCGUAGAUAUUCGGAGGAACACCAGUGGCGAAGGCGGCCCACUGGCUCGAUACUGACGCUGAGGUGCGAAAGCGUGGGGAGCAAACAGGAUUAGAAACCCUAGUAGUCC
rnacentral:rRNA from 1 species